rnacentral:tRNA from 1 species
UCUGAAAUAGCUCAGUUGGUAGAGAGUCAGACUAUAAAACGAAAGGUCCUUGGUUUGACCCGGGUUCCGGUA